rnacentral:rRNA from 1 species
AUUGAACGCUGGCGGCAGGCCUAACACAUGCACGUCGAGCGUGCGGCGGACGGGUGAGUAAUGCCUGGGAAUUGCCCAGUCGAGGGGGAAAACAGUUGGAAACGACUGCUAAUACCGCAUCCGAUUGGAUGGCCCAGGUGGGUUUAGCUCGUUGGUGAGGUAAUGGCACACCAAGGCGUCGAUCCCUAGCUGGUCUGAGAGGAUGAUCAGCCACACUGGAACUGAGACACGGUCCAGACGCCUACGGGAGGCAGCAGUGGGAAAUAUUGCACAAUGGGGGAAACCCUGAUGCAGCCAUGCCGCGUGGGUGAAGAAGGCCUUCGGGUUGUAAAGCACUUUCAGCGAGGAGGCGUUACUCGCAGAAGAAGCACCGGCUAACUUCGUGCCAGCAGCCGCGGUAAUAC